rnacentral:rRNA from 1 species
UACGGGGGGAGCAAGCGUUGUUCGGAUUUACUGGGCGUAAAGGGCGCGUAGGCGGUCAGUGCAAGUCAGUUGUGAAAUCUCCGGGCUUAACUCGGAACGGUCAACUGAUACUGCUCGACUAGAGUGCGGAAGGGGCAACUGGAAUUCUUGGUGUAGCGGUGAAAUGCGUAGAUAUCAAGAGGAACACCUGCGGCGAAGGCGGGUUGCUGGGCCGACACUGACGCUGAGGAGCGAAAGCGUGGGGAGCGAACAGG